GAUGAACGCUGGCGGAAUGCUUUACACAUGCAAGUCGAACGGCAGCACGGACUUCGGUCUGGAGGCGAAUGGCGAACGGGUGAGUAAUACAUCGGAACGUGCCCAGUCGUGGGGGAUAACGUAGCGAAAGCUACGCUAAUACCGCAUACGAUCUAAGGAUGAAAGCGGGGGAUCGCAAGACCUCGCGCGAUUGGAGCGGCCGAUGGCAGAUUAGGUAGUUGGUAGGGUAAAGGCCUACCAAGCCGACGAUCUGUAGCUGGUCUGAGAGGACGACCAUCCACACAGGGACGGAGACACGGCCCAGAGUCCUACGGGGUGCAGCAGUGGGGAAUUUUGGACAAUGGACGCAAGUCUGAUCCAGCCAUUCCGCGUGCAGGAUGAAGGCCCUCGGGUUGUAAACUGCUUUUGUACAGAACGAAAAGGCUCUGGUUAAUACCUGGAGCUCAUGACGGUACUGUAAGAAUAAGCACCGGCUAACUACGUGCCAGCCGCCGCCGUAA
rnacentral:rRNA from 1 species